AAAGUUCGACAGGCAAUCGCGGCUGAUGAUAAGUCAGACGAGGAAAGUCCGAGCUCCAUAGGGCAGGGUGCUGGAUAACGUCCAGUGGGGGCAACCCUAAGGCCAGUGCCACAGAAAGAAACCGCCGAUUUAUCGGUAAGGGUGCAACGGUGCGGUAAGAGCGCACCAGCGGCUGGGCGACCAGCCGGCUAGGUAAACCCCACCCGGAGCAAGACCAAGUAGGGAAGGUGUGAAGCGGCCCGCUGACCUUCCGGGUGUGUCGCUCGAGCGAUUGAGCAAUUGAUCGCCUAGAUAAAUGAUUGCCACUGCGCAAGCAGAACAGAACUCGGCUUAUGGCGAACUUUUUCU
rnacentral:RNase_P_RNA from 1 species